GCGUUAUAGCUCAGUGGUAGAACAUGUGCUAAGCAUGCACAGGCUCUGGGUUCAAUCCCCAGCACAUACA
rnacentral:tRNA from 1 species